rnacentral:rRNA from 1 species
UACGGGAGGGUGCGAGCGUUAAUCGGAAUUACUGGGCGUAAAGCGCACGCAGGCGGCUUGUUAAGCUAGAGGUGAAAGCCCCCGCGCUCAACGUGGGAACUGCCUUUAGAACUGGCAGGCUAGAGUCUUGGAGAGGGGAGUGGAAGUUCCAGGUGUAGCGGUGAAAUGCGUAGAUAUCUGGAGGAACAUCAGUGGCGAAGGCCGGCUCCCUGGCCAAAGACUGACGCUCAUGUGCGGAAAGUGUGGGUAGCGAACCAGGAUUAGAUACCCGCGUAGUCC